rnacentral:rRNA from 1 species
UCUGGGAUAACUCCGGGAAACCGGGGCUAAUACCGGAUACGACCUCCACGGGCAUCUGUGGAGGUGGAAAGUUUUUCGGCUGAGGAUGGGCCCGCGGCCUAUCAGCUAGUUGGUGGGGUGAUAGCCCACCAAGGCGACGACGGGUAGCCGGCCUGAGAGGGCGACCGGCCACACAGGGACUGAGACACGGCCCAGACUCCUACGGGAGGCAGCAGUGGGGAAUAUUGCGCAAUGGGCGAAAGCCUGACGCAGCGACGCCGCGUGAGGGACGAAGGCCUUCGGGUUGUAAACCUCUUUCAGCAGGGACGAAGCGAAAGUGACGGUACCUGCAGAAGAAGCACCGGC